UGCGUAGCUGCGCGCAUUGAUCGCAACUGAUUCGUAAUCAGUAGGUCCGGGGUUCAAUUCCCCGAGUCGGCACCA
rnacentral:tRNA from 1 species